GUCAGCCUACGGGAGGCAGCAGUGGGGAAUAUUGCACAAUGGGGGAAACCCUGAUGCAGCGACGCCGCGUGAGUGAAGAAGUGCCUCGGCACGUAAAGCUCUAUCAGCAGGGAAGAAAAUGACGGUACCUGACCAAGAAGCCCCGGCUAACUACGUGCCAGCAGCCGCGGUAAUACGUAGGGGGCAAGCGUUAUCCGGAUUUACUGGGUGUAAAGGGGGCGCAGACGGCAAUGCAAGCCAGGAGUGAAAGCCCGGGGCCCAACCCCGGGACUGCUCUUGGAACUGCAUGGCUGGAGUACAGGAGG
rnacentral:rRNA from 1 species